UACGUAGGCAGCGAGCGUUGUUCGGAGUUACUGGGCGUAAAGAGUGCGUAGGCGGUUUUCUAAGUUUGGUGUGAAAUCUCCCGGCUUAACUGGGAGGGUGCGCCGAAGACUGGAAGGCUUGAGUAUGGGAGAGGUAAGCGGAAUUCCUGGUGUAGCGGUGAAAUGCGCAGAUAUCAGGAGGAACACCUGUGGCGAAGGCGGCCACCUGGGCCGACCCUGACGCUGAGGCGCGAAGGCGUGGGGAGCGAACGGG
rnacentral:rRNA from 1 species